rnacentral:lncRNA from 1 species
CAUUUUAAGAACCCUACAUAAUUUGACUAUCACCUUCUAACAAAAACCUUCUAACCUACAACUAACUCCUUUUCUCAAUUUCAACCAAAAACCAAUUCCUCUCUUCAUUUUUCACCCACUGACUUCACCAACAAUUCAAAUUAAUUCCUUCUACUACCUCUAACUCAAUACUAACAAACUUCAUUUUUCCUCAUGAACUUCCCUUCCAACAAAACCUUCAUUUCAAUUCACCUUCCAACUAACUUCUUCACAAACCUUCUAACUAUUUCUCAUAACAGUCUAACUUUCCAAAACUAACUUCUAUAACUAACCUAACUGACUUGUAACCAUUUUUUAACCAACUUCCUAACAUACUAACAAAUUCAUAAAAACCCUAACAGAAUGGAAGAGAAGCCAUAAUAUAAUUUAACAAGGAGCUAACAUAAUCAAAAGCCAUGUAUAAACACAAUUCAUUUUCAUCAUUUCAGAUUCUCAUUUUUUCACAUUCACAACUCACAUUUUUUCACAUUCACAACUCUCAUUUUCAUAUUUUUCGAUUCAUCACCUCUUCAAUUUCAGACUUCAUUUCUCAUAAUUCACACUCCUU